rnacentral:rRNA from 1 species
AUAUUGGACAAUGGGGGCAACCCUGAUCCAGCAAUGCCGCGUGUGUGAAGAAGGCCUGAGGGUUGUAAAGCACUUUCAGUGGGGAGGAGGGUUGAUAGGUUAAGAGCUGAUUAACUGGACGUUACCCACAGAAGAAGCACCGGCUAACUCCGUGCCAGCAGCCGCGGUAAUACGGAGGGUGCGAGCGUUAAUCGGAAUUACUGGGCGUAAAGGGUGCGUAGGUGGUUUGAUAAGUUAUCUGUAAAAGCCCUGGGCUCAACCUGGGAAGGCCAGAUAAAACUGUUGAACUAGAGUAUGGGAGAGGGUAGUGGAAUUUCCGGUGUAGCGGUGAAAUGCGUAGAGAUCGGAAGGAACACCAGUGGCGAAGGCGGCUACCUGGCCUGAUACUGACACUGAAGCACGAAAGCGUGGGGAGCAAACAGG